AUACGUAGGGGGCGAGCGUUGUCCGGAAUGAUUGGGCGUAAAGGGCGCGUAGGCGGCCCGGUAAGUCUGGAGUGAAAGUCCUGUUUUUAAGAUGGGAAUUGCUUUGGAUACUGUCGGGCUUGAGUGCAGGAGAGGUAAGUGGAAUUCCUAGUGGAGCGGUGAAAUGCGUAGAGAUUGGGAGGAACACCAGUGGCGAAGGCGACUUACUGGACUGUAACUGACGCUGAGGCGCGAAAGUGUGGGGAGCAAACAGGAUUAGAUACCCUGGUAGUCCACACUGUAAACGAUGAAUGCUAGGUGUAGGGGGUAUCGACCCCUUCUGUGCCGCAGUCAACACAAUAAGCAUUCCGCCUGGGGAGUACGGCCGCAAGGUUGAAACUCAAAGGAAUUGACGGGG
rnacentral:rRNA from 1 species